CCUACGGGAGGCAGCAGUGAGGAAUAUUGGUCAAUGGGCGAGAGCCUGAACCAGCCAAGUCGCGUGAGGGAGUACUGCCCUAUGGGUUGUAAACCUCUUUUGUCGGGGAGCAAAAGCCGGACGUGUCCGGCUGUGAGAGUACCCGAAGAAAAAGCAUCGGCUAACUCCGUGCCAGCAGCCGCGGUAAUACGGGGGAUGCGAGCGUUAUCCGGAUUUAUUGGGUUUAAAGGGUGCGCAGGCGGAUUUUUAAGUCAGCGGUAAAAUCGUGGGGCUCAACCCCAUCCAGCCGUUGAAACUGGGGAUCUAGAGUGUGCGAGAGGUAUGCGGAAUGCGUGGUGUAGCGGUGAAAUGCAUAGAUAUCACGCAGAACCCCGAUUGCGAAGGCAGCAUACCGGUGCACAACUGACGCUCAGGCACGAAAGCGUGGGUAUCGAACAGGAUUAGAUACCCGAGUAGUC
rnacentral:rRNA from 1 species